CCUCGUACAUUGUUCCAUUUGACCAAUUCAUAAUCCCUCUUCCAUCCAUUUUAUUAUUUUUCCAAUUUCCAGUGUAGACAUCUCCAUUUGCAAAUCUAUAAACUCCAUAGCCAUGUUUCUGUCCAUUUGACCAAUAACCAUCGAAAACAUCACCGUUAGCCCAUUUCAUAAUCCCUUUUCCAUCCCUUUCCCCUUUUUCCCAAUUUCCAGUGUAGACGUUUCCAUUAGCAGAUCUAUAAACUCCAUAUCCAUGUGAAAGUCCAUUUGACCAAUAACCAUCGAAAAUAGCACCAUUACCCCAAUUCAUAAUCCCUUUUCCAUCCUUUUCUCCUUUUUCCCAAUUUCCAGCAUAGACAUCCCCAUUUGCAAAUCUAUAAACUCCAUAUCCAUGUUUAUGUCCAUUUGACCAAUAACCAUCGAAAACAUCAUCGUUAGCCCAUUUCAUAAUCCCUUUUCCAUGCCUUUCCCCUUUUUCCCAAUUUCCAGUGUAGACGUUUCCAUUUGCAGAUCUAUAAACUCCAUAUCCAUGUGAAAGUCCAUUUGACCAACAACCAUCGAAAAUAGCACC
rnacentral:lncRNA from 1 species